rnacentral:rRNA from 1 species
GAUUCCCCUAGUAAUGGCGAAUGAAGCGGGAACAGCUCAAAUUUGAAAUCUCCGUUGCCUGCAACGGCGAAUUGUAGUUUCGAGAAGCACUUUCUCGGCGGACCCGGGGCCGUCCAAGUUGCUUGGAACAGCACGUCAUAGAGGGUGACAACCCCGUCUGUGGCGGAACCGGCCGUUCACGAUGUGCUUUCGACGAGUCGGGUUGUUUGGGAAUGCAGCCCAAAAUGGGUGGUAAACUCCAUCUAAAGCUAAAUAUUGGCACGAGACCGAUAGCGAACAAGUACCGUGAGGGAAAGAUGAAAAGCACUUUGAAAAGAGAGUUAAAAAGUACGUGAAACCGUUAAAAGGGAAACGAAUGGGGUUAGCAAUGCGCUCCGCCAGAUUCAGCCGGUGGACGGGCUGGGCGGGCGGUUUGCGGAUCUGAAUGGACCGCGGCCGUCCGGUUCGGCACUUCGAUCGUCGCACUUCUGGCGAGCGCGCGCCAACGUCGGUUGGGACUGGGUCUCAAAGGCGCCGGGAAGGUAGGUUCUGGUCCCUCGGGGCCGCAACUGUUAUAGACCGGCGUUUUCCAUGGCCCGGGCCCGACCGAGGAGCCGCGGCGCAUGCCUCUUUUGGCUGGGGUCCCGUCGUCACGGUCGGUAGUCGACUGUGGUGGACUGCAUGCAGUGCGCCACGACCGCUGCCGGUCGCGGCGGCGGUGACCUCACACCAUGCGCCCAGGACGUUGGCGGUCACAUGGCCUCAUCCGACCCGUCUUGAAACACGGACCAAGGAGUCUAACAUGUGCGCGAGUCUUCGAGUGAUCGAAACUCCCAGGCAGAAUGAAAGUGAAGGCGGCUUCGGCCGCUGAGGUGAGAACCCUCCCCCGCCACAACCGGGGGCGGGCGCAUCAUCGACCGACCUAUUCUACUCUUAGGAAGGUUUGAGUAAGAGCGCAUCUGUUGGGACCCGAAAGAUUUUUAAACCUUUUUG